GGCUUGCUUCCUUGCCGGCGACCGGCGCACGGGUGAGUAACACGUAUCCCUUUUAGGGUCUACUCUUGGAUAGNCUUCUGAAAGGAAGAUCCUUUCAAGAUGGCAUCAUGAGUCCACAUGUUCACAUGAUUAAAGGUAUUCCGGUAGACGAUGGGGAUGCGUUCCAUCAGAUAGUAGGCGGGGUAACGGCCCACCUAGUCUUCGAUGGAUAGGGGUUCUGAGAGGAAGGUCCCCCACAUUGGAACUGAGGCACGGUCCAAACUCCUACGGGAGGCAGCAGUGAGGAAUAUUGGUCAAUGGGCGCAGGCCUGAACCAGCCAAGUAGCGUGAAGGAUGACUGCCCUAUGGGUUGUAAACUUCUUUUAUAAAGGAAUAAAGUCGGGUAUGUAUACCCGUUUGCAUGUACUUUAUGAAUAAGGAUCGGCUAACUCCGUGCCAGCAGCCGCGGUAAUACGGAGGAUCCGAGCGUUAUCCGGAUUUAUUGGGUUUAAAGGGAGCGUAGAUGGAUGUUUAAGUCAGUUGUGAAAGUUUGCGGCUCAACCGUAAAAUUGCAGUUGAUACUGGAUAUCUUGAGUGCAGUUGAGGCAGGCGGAAUUCGUGGUGUAGCGGUGAAAUGCUUAGAUAUCACGAAGAACUCCGAUUG
rnacentral:rRNA from 1 species